AUAUAAGAAUUAUAUAUAAUUAGGACUUUUUAAAGAACAACAUUUUGGGGGUGCCUGGGUGGCUCAGUGGGUUAAAGCCUCUGCCUUUGGCUCAGGUCAUGAUCC